rnacentral:rRNA from 1 species
ACGACGUUGAUAGGGUGCAGGUGUAAAGCCAGCGAUGGCAAAGCCGAGCACUACUAAUUGCCCAAGACUUUCUUUUG